rnacentral:lncRNA from 1 species
CAGAACUAGAACAAACAAUCCAAAAAUUUAUAUGAACCACAAAAGACCGAGAAUUGCCAAAGCAAUCCCGAGGAACAAAAACCAAGCAGGAGGCAUAACUCUCCCAGACUUCAGGCACUAUUACAAAGCCACAGUCAUCAAGACAGUGUGGUACUGGUACCAAAACAGACAGACAGACCAAUGGAACAGAAUAGAAACCCAGAAAUAAACCCAGUCACCUCUGGUCAAUUAAUCUUUGACAAGGGAGGCAAGAACAUAAAGUGGGAAAAAGACAGGCUUUUCAGCAGGUAUUGCUGGAAAACCUGGACAGCUGCAUGCAAAUCAAUGAAACUGGGAUACACCCUCACACCACACAUGAAAAUAAACUCAAAAUGGCUGAAAGACUUAAACAUAAGACAAGAUACCAUCAAACUCCUCGAAGAGAACAGAGGCAAACAUUCUCCGACGUCAACCUUACAAAUAUUUUCUCAGGUCAGUCUCCCAAAGCAACAGAAAUAAAAGCAAAAAUAAACCAAUGGGACCUAAUCAAACUGACAUGCUUUUGCACAGCAAAGGAAACCAAAAAAAGAAAACAAAAAGACAACUUACGGAAUAGGAGAAAAUAGUUUCAAAUGAUGCAACUAACAAGGGCUUAAUCUCUAAAAUACACAAGCAACUUACACAACUCAACAGCAAAAAAGCCAAAAACCCAAUUGAAAAAUGGGCAAAAGACUUGAAUAGACAUUUUUCCAAGGAAGAUGUACAGGUGGCCAACAAGCACGUGAAAAAAGGCUCAACAUCCCUGAUUAUUAGAGAAAUGCAAAUCAAAACUACCAUGAGAUACCGCCUCACACCAGUCAGAAUGGCCAUCAUUAAUAAGUCCACAAAUAACAAAUGCUGGAGAAGGUGUGAAGAAAAGGGAACCCUCCUACACUGUUGGUGGGAACGUCAGCUGGUACAACCACUAAGGAGAACAGUAUGGAGGUACCUUAGAAAACUAUACAUAGAACUCCCAUAUGACCCAGCAAUCCCACUCUUGGGCAUAUAUCCGGAUAAAACUUUCCUUAAAAAAAAGACACAUGCACCCGCAUGUUCACUGCAGCACUAUUCACAAUAGCCAAGACAUGGAAACAACCUAAAUGUCCCUCGACAGAUGAAUGGAUUAAGAAGAUGUGGUAUAUAUACACAAUGGAAUACUACUCAGCCAGAAAAAAUAACAAAAUAAUGCCAUUUGGAGCAACAUGGAUGAAACUAGAGGCUCUCAUCCUGAGUAAGUCAGAAAGAGACAAAUACCAUAUGAUAUCACUUAUAUCUGAAAUCUAAUAUAUGGCACGAAUGAACCUUCCCACAGAAAAGAAAAUCAUGGACUUGGAGAGUAGACUUGUCGUUGCCAAGGGGGAGGGGGAGGGAGUGGGGUGGAUGGAGAGCUUGGGGUUAAUAGAUGCAAAUUAUUGCCUUUGGAAUGGAUUAGCAAUGAGAUCCUGCUGUGUAGCACUGGAAACUAUGUCUAGUCACUUAUGAUGGAGCACGAUAAUGUGAGAAAAAAGAAUGUAUACAUGUAUGUGUAACUGGGUCACCAUGCUGUACAGUAGGGGAAAAAAUCGUAUUGGGGAAAUAACAAUUAAAAAAUAAAAAAUAAAAAUUUUUGAAAAACAUUGAGAUCCUAUUUACAAUUUUUAGAAAUUUCCAGGAACACCUGCAUGGAAGCACAUGGAGCUUCCCAGGCUAGGGGUCUAAUUGGAGCUACCAGCCUACACCACAGCCACAGCAAUGCGGGAUCCCAGCCACGUCUGCAGCCUAUACCACAGCUCAUGGCCAUAUUCUUAACCCACUGAGCAAAGCCAGGGAUGGAACCUGCAACCUCAUGGUUCCUAGUCGGAUUCUUCUCUCCAAAACCCCGAUUAAAAGGCGCUUCAGCAGGUGGUCAUCAUGAUAUGCACACGGGGCUGCCGCUGCUAAGGCAAUCAUGAUGUCACCCAGCACGCCCAGAGCCCCCAAACCUUUGGGGAUCACAUCGCUGCUUUUAAAGUAAAAUUCUUCAUGGAUGCUCUUAAAACAACUGCUAAGCAAAGGGCGAUCUGGAACCACCUCCACAUUUUCCUCCAGAGGCAGGAAGCGCCCCUCAAGGGAGCGUGACCACCUAUCUCCUCCCCGCCCCCAUCGGCCUGGUCCUUCCCAAGGGCCGGGAAACGGGGAGCAGGCGCAUCUGCUCUGUCACCAGCUCACUCACUUGAGGGAGUCUGAGCCGAGCGCGGUUCAGCGGGUAUCUACGGCAUCCAGAAUCGGGCAACUUCUGUCUUCGUCCUCUUUGCCUUCCUAUUUGCAAACUCCUAUUUGCAGGAGUUAAAUAAGGGCUCUGGAGAACUCAUUUUUCUUAUUGCCAACAAGCUUAGGGACAAAUGCCACUGGGGAGAAUGUUAAAACUAUCAACUAUAAUCCAGACUCUAGCUCAGUCCUUCACAUCCGGUUCCUUUUUUUAAAAAGGGCCCGAAUGACCAUUUUAAUUUUUAAAUACAAAGUGUGUCGCCUCUCGGACAUUUUACUUUUGCCACUGGAGGUUUCCUGACGAUCAGCUAGAAAAUGAAGCAGGAACUGCUUCCGCCUCGGCCUGUGCAUUAGGUGCGCGCUCCGCGGGGCGCCGGCCCACCGGGCCCACCGGGCCCACCGCAUCCACCGCCUCGCUCUGCUCUUUGCCCUCCACCCGCGGAUCGGGCGGAAACCUCAUUCUCCAGGGCCUGCCGAGGGUCCUCUUUGAGACGCCGCCGGUCACAGAGCUGGGCUCGCGCCGAAACCCCCAGUCACCCCUCUCGCGAGAUGUUGGCACCACACGUGUGCCUCCCCACUCAGCCUUGGCACCUGACAGUGAGGCCACGCGCAGUCACCACCUCCCCGAGUGCAUCCAGAAUCCAGCAAGGGGCCUGCGGGCAGCGGGCAGCGCCUGUCUGCGGUUCUCCAACCCCGGCACACGUCAGACUGAGGAGAUCUGGGUUGCGGAUUCGCGAAUGUGCCUUUCUCUCAAGUUCAAGAUGCUACUCCUGUUGCCUCGGGACAGCUCUGAGAGUCUAUUCUGCUGUAGAAUUCCAUGUACCAAUUCUUGAAAAAACAGGACGUGGAGACUCAGUUACAAACGAAAUAUAAAACUGUUUCUAGAUUCUCAAGGACAGCUGGUGUAAUGAGGAAAAAAUGAGAGUCAGAGGAAUUCCUUCGCUCUGCACAAGCUGUACACACAACUUAACCCACUCCUCAGCACCACCCAGGGAGUUUUACAAGUCUGGGAGCUGGAGCUCCACCCCCCAGAAAUUUUGACUGGGCUGGUGUGGGGUGCAGUAGGGCAGCCUCGUUUCAGAAGCUCCUCGGUGAUUCUAAGGAAUGUUCAAAGUUCAAAGGCUGCUUUUGCGGGGGAGGGGGUUGUUUUUGUUUUUGUUUUAAACCUCUUAGUCUUCUUGGCUCAGUCACUAAUAUAUGAAACCAAAGAAUCUGAUGUUGCCUUAAAUAAGAAAUGGGGGAUUCCCAUUGAUAUACAAAUCAGACUCCCAGCGCACGUAUGAGCACAACACAGCACUCACCAGUUGCUUACAGCCGCUCCGGAUUAGGCUGAGAACCACAGCAGCCUAGUCUGAAAAGCAGCUGGUGAUCCAGAACCUGGCCAGGCCCAUAUGGAUGGUGACAGCAUGAAACAGGCUGGGGCAAGUUUGUUCUAAGGCCAAGGACCUCACCCACUAUUGAAAUGUCUCAUCAAACAGCAAUUCCAGGCCACACUGUGCCCCUGCUGCAGACCUGGAAGUUAUGCUGCCUCCUGGCCUCUUCCAUCUGAGCACUGAAAUCCCUCCACUGACUCUCUCCCAUGGGAGCACCUGCAGCCUCCGAGCUGGAUUCGCAGGUGUCCGGGUUUUCAAGCCAGAGGCCAACGUGUCCUCCUGAGACUGAUCCCAUCUCUUACGCACACGGUUAUCAAUCAGUUCUGCCUCCAGAGCUGCCGAGUCGCUUGUUCUGCACCCUCACCGCUCCCGCUCGUCAGCUCGCCUGCAGCAGUCACCGGUCUCCUCCGUCCGUCACGGCCUCCGGAGUCCACUCCCCACACGGUGCCACAGUCAUCUUGCCAAACUACCAAACACAUCACACUGGUUCCUGGCCUGAAACGCCCUAACGACCCUCCCUCCACACAGUGCUCUCUCUGAACUGCAGGCCCCCACCGCCCCUCCUCUGCCCAUCACCCUAAAUAACCAGCGCACUGCACAACUGGCUAUGGUGGGCACUUGUCUUGCAACGCCCGUCACAUCGUCCUGCCCAGGGACACAGCCACAGGUCUCUGCAGGCUCAAAUGAGAAACCCCUUCCUUGUGGGGCUAUACCUGGCCCCUCUCCAGUCAGAAUUCAGAGCCAGGACUCAUACCAGAGGACUUCCUUAUCCUGCACAGAAUCCCAUCAUCGCUUCUGUGACGUCUUCCCACUUGUUAUCCAUAGCUUUCUCUUCCCCUGCUCAACUUCUAGACACUUAAAGGCAAGCAUCAAGUCGGAUUCAUUCCUAGGGCUCAAAAUGUGGGUGGGGCAGUGCAAAUCACUCACCGUGGCUUGAACAUAAACAAACAAACAAAAAUAAAAGCCACAGAUGUAAUACAUAGUGGUACUUGUCCUUAUACUCAAAGGGAGAACCGGAGUGGUUAAUUUAUGUAAUUAUUUACACUAAACCAUGACCAUGUUUGCGGGCCCCUCCUAACAGGCGCAAUUGUGGGUGUAUCGAGGACCGCGCACAAGGCUUGUUCGCGCGGCCCUCAGCCCCUAAGAGCAAUCUGAGACUCAUGUUAACGGCACAUUCCGGAUGUCUUCAGAAAAGAUUUCUAGACUCUCCACCGUUCCACGACAGUCCACCAAAACGCGGUACCCUGUGGAGCAAACAAAGAAACUCGACCCCACACGCAAGCUUUCACAUUCUACUUUCUCAAGCAAACUGCUGAGGUUUGGUAGGAGUAAGACUUAUUUUAAGCAUAGGCACAGAUGCUUGGUCAACAGGGUCAGGCAUGUGAUAUUAUACGUCAGUGUCUUCCACGGCAAGUCCAGCACUUAGCUUCUAACGGAGCUAAGUAAACAAGCUGCCACUGCUCGCCAGCUCCAGCUGGUUCAGGGAACUUUCUAGGUGACUUUAUCUAAGCGUGCAGGAAGUUGGACCUGAUGACUCUGAAAAAGUGAAAAUUUCAGUCAAACCGGUUAUUUGACCUAAGUCUCAAAGCCUGGAUCCUCGCCCAAAGUCAAGCUCACCUGCCUACACCCGCGGGCUGGGUGGCAGACUAUCCUUACAUGUUGUGCAAAGAGACAACUGCUGGAAUUUUCUUAGAGAAGACAACGUUUUAGAGGGGAGAUGAAAGAGAAGGUACAGGCAGAAAACUCUCACAGGAAAGACCAACAAGAACCCGCUCAGAUGUAAGUUCUACUCUGUACGCGCUGAUGGCUCAAAAAUAAAACAGGAAUAAUUAACAGAGGCCCAAACCCUUUCUCAUCAUAAUUUCUAAUGUCUGUAAGUGACAGGAGAACACACACUGGACUUCGUUCAGCAGAGAUCUGAGGAGCAGAAUCUAGUUUUUAAAUUAUGUCUGAAAGGAGACAGUGCAUGGAUGAGAGAGCCACGUUCUGAAAUGCCGGCCUUUUCUCAAAACACAUCCCUAUUCGUAAAACCAAACUGUAAAUGAGCCCAUUUCCACCACAUGCGAAUUACAACACACACGUGCAAAGCACAAAGUGAGGCCAGACGUGUUCCUGGGUGUCCUUUGACAAGCUGCGUGUCCC